rnacentral:rRNA from 1 species
CGCACGGGUGCGUAACGCGUAUGCAACCUACCAUCAACAGGGGGAUAACACUGAGAAAUUGGUACUAAUACCCCAUAAUAUCUCAUGCGGCAUCGCAUGGGGUUGAAAACUCCGGUGGUUGAUGAUGGGCAUGCGUUGUAUUAGCUGGUUGGUGAGGUAACGGCUCGCCAAGGCGACGAUACAUAGGGGGACUGAGAGGUUAACCCCCCACAUUGGUACUGAGACACGGACCAAACUCCUACGGGAGGCAGCAG